GGGCCGGGGGUCUACAAAGGGCAAAGAUGAAGGUGGGGAUGCUAUUAAGAUGAGCCAGUCGCCUGUGCCACAUUCGGCCCUCUUCCUUAUCCAGGGUUAACAGGAAAACUCAGUGGGCUACCCCCUCAGUAAGCCUCAUUUUCUCCUCCACUCCCAAGCCAGCCUAGUAGCUCCAAAAUCCAUCGGUUCUGAUUAGCCCUUUUUGUGACUUGGAAGUCUAGCAUCUUCAAUUACCUGAUGUACUUCCGGUCUACCCCCUACUCCAGCCUCACUACCCAAACCAUCAAGUCCUCUUGACUGCCAAGGGGACGUGUUCUUCAACCAGCAGGAAAGAAAAGGAACCCUCACCUCCUGAAAUGAAGCUCGUCCUAACGGAAGUGCUCUCUCCCACUGGGCUGCAGGUGGCCCUCUAAUCACUAGCACCUGUCUGCCCUCAAGUCUUCAGGGAAAGCCUGGCCCCAGAUGAAGAAACCGAGACUGUAACAGAAGCUUCAGGAAAUCUAUCCCUGACAGGCCCCUCCUCUUGCCUGAUUUGGGCUAGAGGCUCUGGGCAUGUGUGCUAAGCAGGGCACUGUCCAGGUGACCAGCCCCAUCCUCUCAAAGAAGCCUCUUCCUCCGAAGUCAGCUCUUCCUCAACCCCUAGUGGACUUCUCCAACCCAGCAGGGUGGACCAGUUUUCUGGAUGAACCCAGGGGGCGGUGACACACAGACUGGCCAGAAGCAGAGGCUAUCCCCUCCCUGGAACUCCACCUUGCCGGCCCUCUCUCUCCUCUACAGCACUCUGAGAACAGAACCAGCAGGCCUGUGGCCCCCGUGCCCUUCUAGAGCGGAUUUCCAAGGGCAGCCCCUGAGCUCAGCCUCACCUUAGACCCUGGGACUGUGGCUUCCCCCGCUCCCCGGGAAAUUCUUUCCCGGAGUCAGGUGUCAGUGCCCCUCUGGCUGUCCCCUCCACUGAGCCAACAGGCCCAAAAUAGCCCCAGCUGUCAGCGGGCAUCCAUCUCGGAAGAGCUGGGGGCAGGGCCACCAGACCCCCAGGCAGCAGGAAGACUGGGGGUAACCCGGCCAGUGGUUGCACAGUACCAGCCCCAACCCUCCCAAAUCCCAGAGGGCAAAUUGUCCCUUCCCAUUGUGAGGUCUCAACUCAGAGAUACAGAAGAACCCAGCUCUGGCAUUCCGCCCAUUGUCAUCUCAGGGAGUGGCCCAGGUUGACCAAGCCCCUAAGAUCCCCAUGUUCCACAAACCACCAUGACCUUCAGUCCAUCUGACCUCCAGGAGCAAGAGUGGGCCCUCCAAGCAGCUCUGCCUCCUCACCU